CAGUAGCCGCGGGAACACGAAGGGUGCAAGCGUUAAUCGGAAUUACUGGGCGUAAAGCGUGCGUAGGCGGUUUGUUAAGUCUGCUGUGAAAUCCCCGGGCUCAACCUGGGAAUGGCAGUGGAUACUGGCAAGCUAGAGUGUGUCAGAGGAUGGUGGAAUUCCCGGUGUAGCGGUGAAAUGCGUAGAGAUCGGGAGGAACAUCAGUGGCGAAGGCGGCCAUCUGGGACAACACUGACGCUGAGGCACGAAAGCGUGGGGAGCAAACAGGAUUAGAUACCCCCGUAGUCCCUGUCUCUUAUAC
rnacentral:rRNA from 1 species